GAGUGUGUGUGUAUCUGUAGGUGUGAGUGUGAGUGUGUGUGUGUAUCUGUAGGUGUGAGUGUGAGUGUGUGUGUAUCUGUGUGUGUUGUGGUGUGUGUGUGUGUAUCUGUAGGUGUGAGUGUGAGUGUGUGUGUAUCUGUAGGUGUGUGUGUGAGUGUGAGUGUGUGUGUGUGAGUGUGAGUGUGUGUGUGUGUGUAUCUGUAGGUGUGAGUGUGAGUGUGAGUGUGUAUCUGUAGGUGUGUGUGUGUGUGUGUGUGUGGGUGUGUGUGCAUGUAUCUGUAGGUGUGUGUGUGUGUGUGUGUGUGUGUGAGUGUGUGUGUGUGUGUGUGUGUGUA